GAUGAACGCUAGCGGUAGGCCUAACACAUGCAAGUCGAGGGGUAGCAGGAUUAAGCUUGCUUAAUUGCUGACGACCGGCGCACGGGUGCGUAACGCGUAUGCAACCUACCUUAUACUGGGGUAUAGCCCGGAGAAAUUCGGAUUAAUCCCCCAUAGUACUAAUGAAUCGCAUGGUUUAUUAGUUAAAGCAUUGCGGUAUAAGAUGGGCAUGCGUCCUAUUAGCUAGAUGGUGAGGUAACGGCUCACCAUGGCUACGAUAGGUAGGGGGCCUGAGAGGGUGGUCCCCCACACUGGUACUGAGACACGGACCAGACUCCUACGGAGGCAGCAGUGAGGAAUAUUGGUCAAUGGGCGCAAGCCUGAACCAGCCAUGCCGCGUGCAGGAAGAAUGCCCUAUGGGUUGUAAACUGCUUUUAUUUGGGAAUAAACCUCUUUACGUGUAGAGAGCUGAAGGUACCAAAUGAAUAAGCACCGGCUAACUCCGUGCCAGCCGCCGCAGUAA
rnacentral:rRNA from 1 species